CUGAAUUCAGCGGCGGACGGGUGAGUAAUGCCUAGGAAUCUGCCUGGUAGUGGGGGACAACGUUUCGAAAGGAACGCUAAUACCGCAUACGUCCUACGGGAGAAAGCAGGGGACCUUCGGGCCUUGCGCUAUCAGAUGAGCCUAGGUCGGAUUAGCUAGUUGGUGAGGUAAUGGCUCACCAAGGCGACGAUCCGUAACUGGUCUGAGAGGAUGAUCAGUCACACUGGAACUGAGACACGGCCCAGACUCCUACGGGAGGCAGCAGUGGGGAAUAUUGGACAAUGGGGGGAACCCUGAUCCAGCCAUGCCGCGUGUGUGAAGAAGGCCUUUUGGUUGUAAAGCACUUUAAGCGAGGAGGAGGCUACUAGUAUUAAUACUACUGGAUAGUGGACGUUACUCGCAGAAUAAGCACCGGCUAACUCUGUGCCAGCAGCCGCGGUAAUACAGAGGGUGCGAGCGUUAAUCGGAUUUACUGGGCGUAAAGCGUGCGUAGGCGGCUGAUUAAGUCGGAUGUGAAAUCCCUGAGCUUAACUUAGGA
rnacentral:rRNA from 1 species